ensembl:snoRNA SNORA74 Small nucleolar RNA SNORA74
CCCAGCUCUCAGUCAGCUGACCAGGCGAUGCGUGUCUGGAUCAGUGUUACGGAGCUGGUAGAGGAAGUCUCUGCACUUUGUCUCCGCUGUGCAGGUUCUGUUUUAGAAUCUGUUCCUGCUGAGCUGCUGCAGAGGGCGGCCCAACAAGAGAGUGGCCUGUCCUGAUCCAACAGCAGGAUGGGCCUAGUGCCGGGCUGCACACU